GUGGGGAAUAUUGGGCAAUGGGCGAAAGCCUGACCCAGCAACGCCGCGUGAAGGAAGAAGGUCUUCGGAUCGUAAACUUCUAUCCUUGGUGAAGAUAAUGACGGUAGCCGAGAAGGAAGCCCCGGCUAACUACGUGCCAGCAGCCGCGGUAAUACGUAGGGGGCAAGCGUUGUCCGGAAUGAUUGGGCGUAAAGGGCGCGUAGGCGGCCUGGUAAGUCUGGAGUGAAAGUCCUGCUUUUGAGGUGGGAAUUGCUUUGGAUACUGUCGGGCUUGAGUGCAGGAGAGGUAAGCGGAAUUCCCGGUGUAGCGGUGAAAUGCGUAGAGAUCGGGAGGAACACCAGUGGCGAAGGCGGCUUACUGGACUGUAACUGACGCUGAGGCGCGAAAGUGUGGGGAGCAAACAGGAUUAGAUACCCCUGUAGUCC
rnacentral:rRNA from 1 species